rnacentral:lncRNA from 12 species
ACACUUUUACUACAUUAACUUCAUGUGGACAACAGACGCAUACACAGUAAUGUGUUACAUUGACAAUAUGUUUGUGUGUGUCAGGGCAUGAAAGGAGCAGAUGGCUACAGCGAUUCUGAUGAAGACCUGCAUGGUGCUUACCUUGAGAGAAUGAAAAAAAGAGGGCAAGAUCUGAACUUUGGUUUACAGUUUUCAACUUAAUUCCAACAAAAUAUAUAAAGAAACAAAUAUAUAAAGUAAUGGCACGUCAAAGUGAGUUUUGUUAUUGGAUUGUGCUGUAUUCUGUAGAGCAGUUACUGUAGAUAAUAUCUGUUAUCUUCCUGUAGAUGAGUCUUUCAACCCUGGAGAAGAGGAUGAUGAUGUCCCAGAAGAGUAAGUAAUUUUUUAUUCUUGUUUUGUAGUUUUUUCAAUUUUUCACUUUUUUACAAUAAUGAUGUCUCUGUGCAGGUAUGACAGUAACGUUUCAGAAAGCGAUAGUGAGGCAAAUCAUGGAGACAGCGAGGAAGAAGAGGAAGGCAAGAAGAAAAAAGCUAAAACGAAGCCCAAGAAAGUGAUGAAGGAGAACAAAGUGAGAAAACCACAGAAAGAGGAGUGGCACAGAAAAGCGGAAGAGGCCAAAAAAAUAAAAAAUAUGAGAAAGCCAUGAAAGAGUACAGAGCGAGUGGAGGAGAAGUGGCAUCUGUUACUAAGUGAGCAAACAGAUCUAUCAAACACAUACUUUAUAUCACAAUUAUUUUAUAUUUUAAAGCAUAUUUGCACACGUGUACGUUUCUGUAAACUUCAAUUUGCACAUUGUUUGAAAGUAAACACUGGGUAAGAUAUUAGAUUGCAUCAAAGAAAUAGUCACCAAAAUAAUCAUACAAUGCAGUUUAUAAAUUAAGAAGUCUCAUAUAUUCAUCAAGUCUGAAUUUAUUUGUUCAAAAACACAAUAAAAACAGCAAUAUGGAUACAUAGAAUUACAAUUUAAGAGAACUGUUUCUGGAUCUGACUGAUGUCACACUCACAGCACACAGACAUUUCCACAUCUCAGGUUUCACUGUGAAUAAUUGAUGGUUACUCAGACCAAGACUUCCUACUUUCGCCGUGAACACAUUUUUAUGCAUUUUUCCAUUCAGACUGAGAAUUUAGAAAUAAACGUAAUAUUUUUCCCUCUUUUGCGAGUGACAUCAGUAAAGCUCUUUUGAUUUGUUCAUUUCUCAGUUUUGGUAGACAGACAUAAUUCAGGGAAGUGUGGCUAGACCUACUUGAAGAGGGUUUUGCCCUUUUUUUAAAAAUGGAAAGACUGCAAUUCACAAAAUUUUUUAGGUAUUUCGAUAAUGUGUUUUGUACUUUAGGUUAUCAAAAUAUUAAUCACUGUUUUACAAUAAAAGUUCAGUGGGUGAUUAAGCACUACUGUGUGUGUGUGUGUGUGUGUGUGUGUGUGUGUGUGUGUGUGUGUGUGUGUGUGUGUGUGUGUGUGUGAUCAGUAAUCAAACCAUUAGUGAUGGUCAUGUGAUGUCUUGACUGAAGACACUUGAAUGCAUUUAUAUAUGAUGAAA